rnacentral:lncRNA from 1 species
AGAAAAAAUGAGAAACGUCUUCAUGACAUAAACAAGGAAUUCAACAAAAACAUUCACAUGAAUGACCCCAGCCAGGUUGUUUUAGAAAAUCCGUUGUCCACAGAGAAGGUCAUGGACUUGUCACUUGACCACUGACAGCACUGCCAGAAAAUAUUGUGGCUGCACAAAUGACUGCUGCAUCACCAGGCAUAUCAUCUGUCACAUCUCCUCAGUCAUCAGUACCAAUUACAGAAAAAUCUGCUUGUGAACCUACUAAGCCUUGGGAGAGGGACUGGCAUCCAUUACAAGAAAAACUGCUUGAUUAUGUGCUGGAGCGAAAUCGGCCUGGCAGUGAAAUAUUUGUGAAGGAGGGCCAAGUGUGCCUUAUUCGAGAAGAAUUUUGGAGUCUUGGAUUGCUAAGGGACAUGGACUCCCAUAUUGGAAACGCCUGCAUGAAGCUUAUUUGUGAAAUGGCUCGGCAAAUUGGCAAGGACAUAUACAUUAAGGACUUUUUUGUUCUCCCUGUGUGGAAAACAACUCCUAACAACAUUGUUACUGGAUUACCGGAAGAUGCAGACUUGAAAGACCUGUUAGCCUUUCCAGCAUGGACAAAUGCAAAUGGACCAGACCACUUCGUUGUCUGUGAAAAUUGCUUACCAAGUUGAUCAUGGGACAUGGACUGAAAAGACUGGAUAUGAUUUUCCACCUUUGCCACGUCAGACAAGAGGGAAUGAUUGUGGUGUUUUUGUACUCAUGUACACCCUCUCAAUGGUGUGUGGCAUUGGGUUUCAAUUCGAGGAGAUGGAUAUGCCUGUCAUUCGUCAGUGGUGGUGUCUUCUCAUGGAACGAUUUCAGAUUGAUGGGUAUGUCAGUUAAAUUUUCUUUUAAAUCUGUCAAAUUUAAAUGUGAUAUUGUGUCAAUACAACAACUCUGUAACACGAAUAACAAAACAUCCUUAAUAUCUAUCUUACCGGUGACCAGUUAUCAUGGAUUUUGUC